ACGUGGGUGAUACACUCUUCCUAUUUCUUCUUGGCAGAGAAGAAUUCAGUGAUGACUUCAAGUGGCAUUCCCUUUGUUUCAGGAACUUUUAGGAAUACAAACACCCAUGAUAUGAUGCAAACAACUGCAUACAUCCCGAAAACACCAGCAAGCCCGAUGGAGUUGAGCAACACAGGUAGCGUAUACGUGACGAUGAUGUCGCCAAUCCAAAAUGUUAGUGCACAAAUCGCAAUGCAAAGGCCACGGACUCGGGUCGGGAAGAUUUCUGCACAUAAUAUGUUUGGGAUUGGCCCAAAUCCCAUCACGAAGAAACAGAAGUAAACAACUACACUGAUUGUUGAGAUUGAUGCAUUCACUACGCUGCCCAUGUGCACUAGGCUACCAAAAACUAGGAUGAUGAGGGAUGCUAUCAAGGCAGGGAUGGUCCAUAGUAAUAAAGUCCUACGACCCGAGAUGUCCAUUAGUCUCAUGGCCACUGCAAUUGAAGGGAGCAUCA
rnacentral:misc_RNA from 1 species